rnacentral:rRNA from 1 species
AUUGAACGCUGGCGGCAUGCCUUACACAUGCAAGUCGAACGGUAACAGGUCUUCGGAUGCUGACGAGUGGCGAACGGGUGAGUAAUACAUCGGAACGUGCCCAGACGUGGGGGAUAACGAGGCGAAAGCUUUGCUAAUACCGCAUACGAUCUAAGGAUGAAAGCAGGGGACCGCAAGGCCUUGCGCGUUUGGAGCGGCCGAUGGCGGAUUAGGUAGUUGGUGGGCUAAAAGCUUACCAAGCCGACGAUCUGUAGCUGGUGUGAGAGGACGACCAGCCACACUGGGAGUGAGACACGGCCAAGACUCCUACGGGAGGGAGCAGUGGGGAAUUUUGGACAAUGGGCGAGAGCCUGAUCCAGCAAUGCCGAGUGCAGGAUGAAGGCCUUCGGGUUGUAAACUGCUUUUGUACGGAACGAAAAGGCUCUGGCUAAUACCUGGGGCAAAUGACGGUACCGUAAGAAUAAGCACCGGCUAACUACGUG